UUUAAAGUACUGGUAAUUUAAUUAGUUAGUAAAUACAUUAUCCUCUGAACAAAAUUGCAGCAAUAUGAGAGUGAAUUUAGUUUAUGUGUUUUACCUCCUUUAAAUUGAUGUAUAGUAGAAAUUUCAAGCUCAACUCUGAUGUGAUGACUUCAAUACUCAGCUGCUCUACCUUCCAAUGAACAAAGAGAAUAUUUUUAUGGAUAUUUUGUGAUUUUUUUUUAAUUUGUGAAAAAUUAUGAAUCCGUCUAAUAGGAAUAUUAAUUAGUUUAAAGUUAUUAAAAUUGCCAUGGCUGUCACGAAUAAAUAGGAUCAAACUCC
rnacentral:misc_RNA from 1 species